rnacentral:rRNA from 1 species
UACCAGACUCCUACGGGAGGCAGCAGUGGGGAAUAUUGCACAAUAGGGGAAACCCUGAUGCAGCAACGCCGCGUGAGUGAAGAAGUAUUUCGGUAUGUAAAGCUCUAUCAGCAGGGAAGAAGAUGACGGUACCUGAUUAAGAAGCCCCGGCUAACUACGUGCCAGCAGCCGCGGUAAUACGUAGGGGGCAAGCGUUAUCCGGAUUUACUGGGUGUAAAGGGAGCGCAGACGGCAGUGCAAGUCUGGAGUGAAAGCCCGGGGCCCAACCCCGGAACUGCUCUGGAAACUGGGCGGCUAGAGUACUGGAGGGGCAGGCGGAAUUCCUAGUGUAGCGGUGAAAUGCGUAGAUAUUAGGAGGAACACCAGUGGCGAAGGCGGCCUGCUGGACAGUAACUGACGUUGAGGCUCGAAAGCGUGGGGAGCAAACAGGAUUAGAUCC